rnacentral:tRNA from 1 species
UGGGAUGUGACUUAGUGGUAGAGCAUUUGCCUGACAUGCAGGAGGCCCUGGGUUCAAUUCCCAGCACCAG